UGCCAGCCGCCGCGGUAAUACGAAGGGGGCUAGCGUUGUUCGGAAUCACUGGGCGUAAAGCGUAUGUAGGCGGAUCAAAAAGUUAGAUGUGAAAUCCCUGGGCUCAACCCAGGAACUGCAUUUAAAACUAGUGAUCUAGAAUUUGGUAGGGGCCAGUAGAAUUUCCAGUGUAGAGGUGAAAUUCGUAGAUAUUGGAAAGAAUACCAGUGGCGAAGGCGACUGGCUGGGCCAUUUUUGACGCUGAGGUGCGAAAGCGUGGGUAGCGAACAGGAUUAGAUA
rnacentral:rRNA from 1 species